rnacentral:rRNA from 1 species
CAGUCGAACGAAGCACUUAUCUUUGAUUCUUCGGAUGAAGAGGUUUGUGACUGUGUGGCGGACGGGUGAGUAACGCGUGGGUAACCUGCCUCAUACAGGGGGAUAACAGUUAGAAAUGACUGCUAAUACCGCAUAAGACCACAGAGCCGCAUGGCUCAGUGGGAAAAACUCCGGUGGUAUGAGAUGGACCCGCGUCUGAUUAGGUAGUUGGUGGGGUAACGGCCUACCAAGCCAACGAUCAGUAGCCGACCUGAGAGGGUGACCGGCCACAUUGGGACUGAGACACGGCCCAAACUCCUACGGGAGGCAGCAGUGGGGAAUAUUGCACAAUGGGGGAAACCCUGAUGCAGCGACGCCGCGUGAGCGAAGAAGUAUUUCGGUAUGUAAAGCUCUAUCAGCAGGGAAGAAAAUGACGGUACCUGACUAAGAAGCACCGGCUAAAUACGUGCCAGCAGCCGCGGUAAUACGUAUGGUGCAAGCGUUAUCCGGAUUUACUGGGUGUAAAGGGAGCGUAGACGGCUGUGUAAGUCUGAAGUGAAAGCCCGGGGCUCAACCCCGGGACUGCUUUGGAAACUAUGCAGCUAGAGUGUCGGAGAGGUAAGUGGAAUUCCCAGUGUAGCGGUGAAAUGCGUAGAUAUUGGGAGGAACACCAGUGGCGAAGGCGGCUUACUGGACGAUGACUGACGUUGAGGCUCGAAAGCGUGGGGAGCAAACAGGAUUAGAUACCCUGGUAGUC